rnacentral:lncRNA from 1 species
UGCUUGAUGCUGACUCGAUGCCAAUUUUAACAUUGCAUUUGGUAUAAUGGCUUUACCAGGUGGUUCUACAAUCACCCGUACUAUUGACCAUAAUUAUGGAUUGCCGGGCAGGCAUGACAGCCCGGAACCGAGAUCCUCAAGCUUGAAUAGAGUGUAUCAUGCCAUCCAUUCUCAAAGUAAACCUGUAGUGGCCUUCAAACUUUGGGGCUACUUGAUGUGGUUUUCUAUGGCCCGCGGCUUCAAAAUUGGUGACUUCCAAUACCACGAAACCCUUAUAUCACAUCUUAAGGAUAUUUUCUAUUAUGUAGUUGGCAUCCCGUAAGUACUCUUGCUGGGAAACAGUUUAGCAAACUUCAACAGCAUAAUCACCUCCCGAGAGCAUCUUUCAUUUAUUUGUCUCCUCACCAUGAUGGCAGGUAUCUGUGUACCCUGUACCUCAAGUUUAAAUAUGUUUUGUUGUAAUGUUCUCCUCUCGAACCCUUGCUCUUGCAAUUAGGCUUUAUUUGUUUCAAUAAAAUAGCUUCUCUAUCAAAAGCCUCCUUCAAAGAUCCAGAUUCAUAACCGCCAGAGUAGGCUCCUGUGCCUCCUCAAUUUUACACAUCGCCCAUCCCAUACCAUAUGCAUUAAGAUUCCACCAAAACCUAUGAAUCAAAUAACGAUUUUAUACCCAAUGACCUUAGCAAUAGAACAGGCAUGUUGGGGUCCCGCACCUCCAAAGCAAGGCAAGAGGCAUGGUUCCUUAUCUCAUGGCCCUUCAUCUCAGUUAUUGCCGUAUUGGAAGACAACAUGGUUUCAUUAGCAACAUUCACAAAUCCCUGUGCAAUCUCCUCCAACCGUCAUUGUCCUUUGCCGACGGGUCAUGAUACUUUCUGUGGGGAAUAAUUUGCUUUGCAGGCUUGUCGCAUGCUUUCUUGGUUGCCUUGACAUCUAAAGGGCUGAUCUUCGCUGGGGGCCAAAGAAUGAUUGGGAAAUAAUCGGGGAAUUCAAAUCCCAAAUAAGAUUUGCAUCAGUAAAGCCAAAUGCCCCCCUUUCCGGUAACAUACAGGACCCGGGUGUGCAGCCACUGAUUCUGGUCCCCACCCGGAAAGCUCCAAAUUGGACUUUAACUUGACCGCCCCGGCCAGCAAUGGUGCUUAUGUCAAGCUGAGGUGCUUGUAUUAUCGCUCCGGCAAUAUGUGGUUUCUAAUACGUGCCGAGCUUCCUGGUACCUGCUUACCAUCAGUAGAGUUACCACCAUGUCAAAUACAAUGAGGGACCUUCUGUUUAAAGCCCAAACAAAGUCGGGGAGGAACCAAACAACGCCACAGCUGGAACCCGACAAAACUGCUUUGUGGCCGGAAAGGAGAAAAAAUCUAUUUUUUUCGGCGCAAGUCUCCAAUCUGAGUGCAGAAACACAAACAUUCAACUUCCCCCGUACUUCCAUUCAAAUUGGAUAUGAACCUGGAUAAGUACCUGUGAUAAUGGAGUGAGGUAAGAAUCCACACUAGCUGUUAGACCCGAGGAAACUGCACGAACCAUGGGUGUCAAAGGCAGAAGAUAGGACAACAGUCUGAAGCCCAACUGGACAGCUAACUUUCCACAGAUACUUCAUGCUCAGGGUAGGUGUAGGAGUGCAUUAAACAGACAGCUAAACGCUAAACCUUUCGCCAACAGACCUUUCAGCAAAGGCUUUGAGUUUUAUGCCAUCAAUGGUUUAAAAACCCAGACAAAACUCGCCUGAAACCCCUUUCCACUUAGUGAUGCAGAAGAAUGUAUUACUUCCUCCUUGUCCAUUAACAGCUAACCUCUCUCGGUCAACUCUAUAACAUCUUCAUAAAAGAUUAGAAAGGUUUUGAAACCGUGAGGUCGAAGAUAUGCGGCGGCGAGGCCUGAUUUACAAUUUGCAAAAACAGAUCCCUGAAAAGCACGAGUGACACAUUAAUGCAAUUCUCUCUCCCUUUUCUCUCCAACAGUGGCAUUUGUCGCCACAGUAGAGUAGUACCCAUUCUAUCCUUCUAUCUUAUCUGUAGGGAUUUUUGAAGUCCUCGGAAUUUAUCCCGGUAUACUCUUCCAAAAUUCUUCGAGAUACCUUCAAACUGGAGCAUCAUCAUAGUUAGAUGGAUCAACAGACAACAGCUUCAUAACUCGGCCCCUUUCAGACUGACCCGGAAUUUAGCUAACAUCAUGAAUGGCCCCCUCUGUCAAUACAAAACCUAAGUUUUCUCCAUUGAUACUACCCAUUCAAAUGUCUCCAAAUGCUCAAAAUGACUCAAUAGCAAGAAUCGCACUGCGUUUUCUCAAAUAACAUCAACUGAAUAUAAAGUUAACAAAAGAUUAACAACAGUGAACAAUUCAACAUAUGAAUGCCAAAUAAAUCAUCUGUAUCAAGUAUAAAAGUAUGACUCGUAACAAUAAAUUAUGCCAAUAAUCCUUUUAUCAAUGGAAAUGCAAAUUGAAAAACCAACUCGUAAAAUCCCGCUGCUUGCGUUAAACAAGGAACAACCCCAAUAAAACACAGGCAAAUAGUAGUCAGAUAAUUUGGUGAUAUUGUAUAUUACCAUUUACAAACAACUAAACAGAAAAUCCCCCCCCCCCCCUUUUUUUCCCCCAAAAUUCUCUGCCAGAAAGAUGAGCAAACAAAGAAGGUUUCUGGACCUUAACUACUGACCAUUGCAAAAAAGGGCUGGCAAGCAAGUAAUCCAAACCUAUCAGCAAAAAAUAAGAAGGUCAAAUGCAACUCGAAACAAUAAAAUCGACUAAGUCUUGGGUCUAAAUCAACUUGGGGUUGGCUACAUGAAUUUUUUCUCCACUGCCUUGUGUCAAGUUGCAUAGUUGUUAAAAUUUAAUACCCAAUCAUAUUAAUUUUUAUACCAACAUCAUUGCCAAUUUAGGUCUUCAAUUAAUUUCUAUUAAGGAAACAAUUCUAUCACUUCUAACCAUCACAUCUACUAGUCUUUGUUAUUAUAUGAAACAAAUCAGCUUAAACCUUGUAUUCUCUCAACUUUAUCUUCAAUUGGCUCUACCAAUGCUUUCACUAAGUUGAAUCAUUAAUUCUGUCGCUUUAGUCUCGGUACAUAUCCAUCUUAACAUUCUCGUCUAAGUUAAACUCAUUUUAUUCAUGUAUAAUUUCUUGUGCUCGACAACCUAUAGUUGUUCUUUAAGGUAAUUGAUGCACAUAUAAAAAAAAAACAAAAGUCAAAAACCACAAACUGAAAAGUGUGGAGAGUUUUAUUGAUAGUUCCUAAGUAUUUUAGGCUACAAUUGUUUAAUGAGUUUCCUGAUUAUUUCUAACAUUGAACUAUAAAAGUUAAUUAUUAGGAUUUUUUUUUAUUAUUUCUUUUCUUGCUCUAUAAAUAAGAGUAACUUUGAGCAUUUACGUUUUCGUCUAGAAAUUUACAUCUGUGAUGCACCCGUUUAGGCUAUGUCAAUUUUCAAUAUUUUGUUACUUUUUCCUUAUGAGAAUGCCUAUAAGAUAUUUAAUUUAUUGUGAGGUAUGUGGACUUUCUAAUUCACACACGUUCUAGCUAUAUUCCCCGUAUGCAUUGUUGUGAUAAUGCUUUCUUCUUGCCCAUUUAUGUGUGCGGUCCACUCCGUUACAGCCCUUUCUGGUCAUGCUAUUUCUGUCAAUUCAUUAAUGAUUACUCUCAUUGUUACUUGGGUAUAUUGUGAAAGGAAAUCUAAAAGGUCUUUAUGUCUUACUACCUUUUUACAAAUGAUAACACUCAGAAUCUAUUAAAUUUAUAUCUUUGCUUGAUAAUGGUAGUGGGAAGAUCUCUCAAAUGAAUUAGGUCCACGCUUAAAAAAAACAUGGCAUUCUUACAACAACUCCUGCACCUCUGAAUAUUUGUUCUUUGUUGAUUGAAUUGAGUUGUAGAGGUAUUAAACCAAAGUAAAGAUGCGAAUUAGAUCUGUAAUUGCACAUUGGCAAUUUGCACGUAUAAAACGAUGCAAUUCACAAUAUUUCGUAUUGGAUCUAUAUACAAUCAAUCAACAACAUCGACAAAAAAGAUUGUCUUGAUUUGGUAGAUCGAUUGUCUAUAUGAUUACUAUAAAGAAAAUGAUAAACGACAUAUAAUCUGAAAACCCUAGAAACUUUUGUAAGAUCUGAAGAUAAUGAAAUAUAAAAAAAAUUUUAUGCAAAAAAAUUUACUAACGAUAUUCUGAAAAAAUUCGCGUUCACGGGUCUUACACUUGAGAUUGAGAUUGCUGAAUUUUCUUGUGGUUUCGAUUCUUCUAGUGGAUGAUUGCUGCUCACAAGAAUCGCUUUCCGGAGAAUUCGGGCAGUCGAGGCUCGUUGAGCUCUAUACUUAAUGUCCAAUGUUUGUGCUAAAAUAGCCAAAGAACAAAAAGAAAAGUAAAAAACAAAGACAUUAAACAAAUUAAUUCUAAAAAUUGGUAAUUUUAUAACAAAAUAAUUCUAAUUUUCUUUAUUAAUUAUAAUUUACACCUUCUAUCAACUCCUUCCGUCAAAUGAGAUUAACGGAACAACUAUUCUCUUCAUAACCAUCGUGAGACAGAUUUUUUUCACUUUUUUUGCCUGCUUUUAGUCCCAAUUUUGUACAAAAUUAGGGCCUUAUUUGUGAGCACACAUUGCUUGAAGAAAGUUAAUUCCCUUCUCCAACAACUUCUCUAGAAUAAGCCCUAAUUAUGGUCGAUAGGCAAAUAAUAGAGGAAAACUGUGAUAACUUCUCCUCAUAAUAAGCUCUAAUUUGGUCGCAGAAAGCACAAUAAAAUGAAGGAAAGUUGUUUAUAACUCUCUCAUAAUAUGCCUUAAUUUGGUCAAAAAAACAAAAAUAAGAAUAAAGCAUAAUGGAGGAAAGUGUGAUAACUUAACUUCGCUCAAAUAGCCCUAUUUGGCGAAUAAGGCAAAUAAUAGAGAAAAAUGUGAUACAGAUUAUCUGACAAAAAUGAAAAAUAGUUUUGUCUUCAUCAGCCCUAACUGGAAAAAGUUGGCAAAUGAUUUAAAUUAUUAUUGAAAAUAAAUGAUAGGAAUCUUUUGUUAUAAUUAAAUUAAUAUAAUU